GGAGAGAUGGCUGAGUGGCCGAAAGCACUGGUUUGCUAAACCGGCGUACGUGGUAAAGCCGCGUACCGAGGGUUCGAAUCCCUCUCUCUCCGCCA
rnacentral:tRNA from 1 species